CGAACGGGUGAGUAACACGUGAGCAACCUGCCCCUGACUCUGGGAUAACAGCCGGAAACGGCUGCUAAUACCGGAUAUGCACCAUGAACGCAUGUUCUGUGGUGGGAAAGAUUUUUCGGUUGGGGAUGGGCUCGCGGCCUAUCAGCUUGUUGGUGAGGUAAUGGCUCACCAAGGCGUCGACGGGUAGCCGGCCUGAGAGGGUGACCGGCCACACUGGGACUGAGACACGGCCCAGACUCCUACGGGAGGCAGCAGUGGGGAAUAUUGCACAAUGGGCGAAAGCCUGAUGCAGCAACGCCGCGUGAGGGAUGACGGCCUUCGGGUUGUAAACCUCUUUUAGCAGGGAAGAAGCGAGAGUGACGGUACCUGCAGAAAAAGCGCCGGCUAACUACGUGCCAGCAGCCGCGGUAAUACGUAGGGCGCAAGCGUUAUCCGGAAUUAUUGGGCGUAAAGAGCUCGUAGGCGGUUUGUCGCGUCUGCUGUGAAAACUGGAGGCUCAACCUCCAGCCUGCA
rnacentral:rRNA from 1 species